AUUGAACGCUGGCGGCAGGCCUAACACAUGCAAGUCGAACGAGUGGCGGACGGGUGAGUAAUGUCUGGGAAACUGCCCGAUGGAGGGGGAUAACUACUGGAAACGGUAGCUAAUACCGCAUACCAUCGGAUGUGCCCAGAUGGGAUUAGCUAGUAGGUGGGGUAACGGCUCACCUAGGCGACGAUCCCUAGCUGGUCUGACAGGAUGACCAGCCACACUGGAACAGAGACACGGUCCGGACUCCUACGGGAGGCAGCAGUGUGGAAUAUUGCACAAUGGGCGCAAGCCUGAUGCAGCGAUGCCGCGUGGAUGAAGAAGGCCUUCGGGUUGUAAUCCGCUUUCAGCCAUGACGCGGUAGUGGCAGAAGAAGCACCGGCUAACUACGUGCCAGCAGCCGCGGUAAUUC
rnacentral:rRNA from 1 species